rnacentral:tRNA from 1 species
GGAGGGGUGGCAGAGUGGUUGAAUGCACCGGUCUUGAAAACCGGCGAGGAUUUGCGUCCUCCGUGGGUUCAAAUCCCACCCCCUCCGCCA